GAACAAACAGCCGCCGCGGCGGGAGCGCGGCUCGGGUGGCUCGAGGCGGGUCCUCCUUUCCCCGCAGAUCCCGCAAACCCUCCGCUCCCUGGGGCCGCUGCCUUCAGUGCGCUUAGCCCUGGAUGUUAAGGUUCACGCGGGCUCCAGCCGGAGGUGGGAGUAGUAGCGACAGUCCCCACCCAUCAUCUCCCCAAGGCAGCGCCCGGGCCACCAAGGCCGAAGCGCAGUUGGCGCGCCAGCGGAGCCUGAGACGCCCGGACCAACGCCGCCGGAGGGGGGCCCGAAGGAGCCCGAGCGGCUUCCGGCCCAAGGGCAGUCGCACUUGAGUGAUCGCGAGGAGCACACUUGGCGUUCUCAGCCUCGGGCCUCGGAGAGGCUCUACAGACAGGCAGCAGGACCCCCACCGAGACGUCCGUCAAUGAACCCUGACCUCAACCGCAAGCCAGUGUUGCCUUCAUCUCUCAGGAUCCUGUGCACACGGUGUUAGUCCUGUGCCCUUUUUCUCGCCAGCUGGGGUCCUGCCCAUAGUCCUCCUGCUCCCCUGGCCUCCCCCCAGGAACCCAGCAACCAGUAGCUCCAGCUCAGCCUGGGCCCAUCUCAACCUCUGGGGGUGACAGGGGAGAUGGGCGCUGGACGUGGUCAAGUACUGAGCCGAUGGACGGGCUGCUGCCCCGACAGCGCCCCGCCGUGGUCAAAGCUCGGGCAUGCGAGGCGCGAGACCCGGCUGCGCUCAGCUGUCACAGGCUGUAGGACAGUCAGCAACUUACUUCCCCCUCCCAGCCUCAGUUUCCUGCUCUGAAUAGAAGUUAAGAGCCCCUGGCGCCAGGCUGCUGGGAUCCCAGUCCUGGUUUCACUACUUACCUGUUCUGUAAUAUGUUGCUAUAAGUCUUUGUGUCUUUGUUUCUUCCUCUGUAAAAAUGAGGUUGAAAACA